AUGGUUCCCUGCUGGUUCUUUGUGGCCAUGCUGGCCCCUGUGGUGUUGGCUCUGGAACAGUCCCCAGACACAGUGAUACGACAAGGCCAGUCCAUGGAUCUGAGCUGUUCCAAGAAGAAAUCCUCCAGCACAGCUUUGUUCUGGUACAAGCUGCCUUUGGGGAAGGACUCCAAGCUCAUCCUAGUGGUUUCUGUGUUUGAAGGAGGUAAAGCAGAUGUGGAGGAGGGUUUCCGAAGCCAUUUCAAAGGCAGCGAGAUAAAAGGAGAUGGGAUGACCCUCUCGAUAGAGCGUGCCUUUCUCAAUGACUCUGGGACGUAUUACUGCGCUGAGAAUGAACACUUUGUCACUGUGAACUACAAUAACCUGGCUUUCGGCGAAGGCACAAAACUUACAGUAAUGGGGAAGAAUGAUGAAAUCAUACCUCCAGCUGUGGCCAUCUUUUCCCCAUCAAAGCAAGAGAUCCAACAGAAGAACAAGGCCACGCUGGUAUGCCUGGCCUCUGGUUUCUACCCUGACCACCUGAAUCUGUUCUGGAAGGUGAAUGGUGCUAAGAGGACAGAAGGAGUGGGGACAGAUGAGUUCUCCACACAGAAUGGCAGUACCUACUCAUUGACCAGCCGACUGAGGAUCUCAGCCCAGGAAUGGUUUAACCCUUUGAAUCGUUUUGAGUGUGUGGCCAAUUUUUUUAAGAAUGGAACGCUGGAAUCAAUACACAAAUUAACCUACGGUGAAGCUGGUUGUGCAGUCACAGAAGAAAACUAUCAGAGAAGUACCACAGCUGGGAAGUUUGUGUACAUCAUGCUCAUUUUCAAGAGCAUUUUGUACGGGAUGAUGGGGAUGAUGCUUAGGUUCAAGAAGAGGAACAGAGUUCUACUCGGUAGACAUUUGUUCUAG